rnacentral:rRNA from 1 species
UACGAAGGGGGCUAGCGUUGCUCGGAAUGACUGGGCGUAAAGGGCGCGUAGGCGGUUCGUACAGUCAGGCGUGAAAUUCCCGGGCUUAACCUGGGGGCUGCGUUUGAUACGUGCGGGCUUUGAGUUCGGAAGAGGGUCGUGGAAUUCCCAGUGUAGAGGUGAAAUUCGUAGAUAUUCGGAAGAACACCAGUGGCGAAGGCGACAUACUGGCUCAUUACUGACGCUGAGGCUCGAAAGCGUGGGGAGCAAA